GUAUUGAUUGGUGCUUGCAUCAUGAUUUACAUUUGAGUGAGUGGCGAACUGGUGAGUAACACGUGGGAAACCUGCCCAGAAGCGGGGGAUAACACCUGGAAACAGAUGCUAAUACCGCAUAACAACUUGGACCGCAUGGUCCGAGCUUGAAAGAUGGCUUCGGCUAUCACUUUUGGAUGGUCCCGCGGCGUAUUAGCUAGAUGGUGGGGUAACGGCUCACCAUGGCAAUGAUACGUAGCCGACCUGAGAGGGUAAUCGGCCACAUUGGGACUGAGACACGGCCCAAACUCCUACGGGAGGCAGCAGUAGGGAAUCUUCCACAAUGGACGAAAGUCUGAUGGAGCAACGCCGCGUGAGUGAAGAAGGGUUUCGGCUCGUAAAACUCUGUUGUUAAAGAAGAACAUAUCUGAGAGUAACUGUUCAGGUAUUGACGGUAUUUAACCAGAAAGCCACGGCUAACUACGUGCCAGCAGCCGCGGUAAUACGUAGGUGGCAAGCGUUGUCCGGAUUUAUUGGGCGUAAAGCGAGCGCAGGCGGUUUUUUAAGUCUGAUGUGAAAGCCUUCGGCUCAACCGAAGAAGUGCAUCGGAAACUGGGAAACUUGAGUGCAGAAGAGGACAGUGGAACUCCAUGUGUAGCGGUGAAAUGCGUAGAUAUUAUGGAAGAGCACCAGUGGCGAAAGCGGCUGUCUGGUCUGUAACUGACGCUGAGGCUCGAAAGUAUGGGUAGCAAACAGGAUUAGAUACCCUGGUAGUCCAUACCGUAAAC
rnacentral:rRNA from 2 species